rnacentral:tRNA from 3 species
CAUUAGAUGUCUGAAAUUAAGAAUUGAUCUUUUAAAUCAAUAAUAGUAAUAUUUAAAUUUACUUCUAAUGA